rnacentral:rRNA from 1 species
GGAUAACCUACCCUAAGGUGGGAGAUAACCCCGGGAAACUGGGGAUAAUACCCCAUAGUCUAUGGAAGCUGGAACGCUCUAUAGUUCAAAGAUUUAUCGCCUUAGGAUGGGUCUGCGGCCGAUUAGGUAGUUGUUGGGGUAACGGCCCAACAAGCCUUUGAUCGGUACGGGUUGUGGGAGCAAGAGCCCGGAGAUGGAUUCUGAGACACGAAUCCAGGCCCUACGGGGCGCAGCAGGCGCGAAAACUUUACAAUGCGGGAAACCGUGAUAAGGGAACUCCGAGUGCCCGUAAACGCGGGCUGUCCAUCUGCUUAAGAAACAGGUGAAGAAAGGGCCGGGCAAGACCGGUGCCAGCCGCCGCGGUAAUACCGGCGGCUCGAGUGGUGGCCACUAUUACUGGGCUUAAAGCGUCCGUAGCUUGGUUGUUAAGUCUCUUGGGAAAUCUGUCGGCUUAACCGACAGGCGUUUAAGGGAUACUGGCAAUCUAGGGACCGGGAGAGGUGAGAGGUACUCCAGGGGUAGGAGUGAAAUCCUGUAAUCCUUGGGGGACCACCUGUGGCGUAGGCGUCUCACCAGAACGGCUCCGACAGUGAGGGACGAAAGCUGGGGGAGCAAACCGGAUUAGAUACCCGGGUAGUCCCAGCCGUAAACGAUGCGCGUUAGGUGUAUCGGUGACCACGAGUCACCGAGGUGCCGAAGGGAAACCGUGAAACGUGCCGCCUGGGAAGUACGGUCGCAAGGCUGAAACUUAA